AAUGGGAUUCCGGUCUAUCUUGACCAAGUUGGAGAUGAUCUAUGCAGCGGCCGGGCGCUUGCGAAAAAUGAUCGGUUUGCAUUAGAGAUAUUGAGGGAGAUCAGAACAAUGCGAGGCGUGGUGGAGAUGCUGAAAUGGGAAAAAGUUCACGAGCAGGAGAUUCGAGGAGGGGCUGCAGAGAUCAUCUCCAACAUGGUCAAGAUAGACCGGAAUAGCAUU
rnacentral:pre_miRNA from 1 species